UGUGAGUCAAACUAAAAAAAACCUUUCUUUAUAGAACCCAAUCAAAGAAAGAAAGAAACAAGCCUGAGCAAUUUCUUCUACUUUGUUGGGGCCUUUCAAAGAAUAUCAAAGAAAGAUGCAUCUAUGGCCAACGAUGAGAAUAAGGGACUCCUUCAAGAUUGCUUACUUGAAAAAACUUGAAUGGAAUCUUCAUAGAAUGAACAUUGAAAAGAAGCAGAAGUCUCAAGAAAGUAGCGACAGCAACCUGCAAAGACUCUUGGAUGAUGGUGAUGAUAACAGUACUAACCAACAACAACCAGCAAAAACUUCUAAAGCUGUUUUGAUUUGCAGAGAGAUUAUAAUGCUCGUCACUUGUUGCUACUGUUGUUUCUGUUGUGGAGCUUGUGUCGAUCAAGACAAGGAAUGAUGGUGUUUCGGAAGGGAUUAAGCCACUGAAUCUGCUCCUUAGAGAUAAUAUUUCAGAAGGUGGAACAGGGAUUGUACAGUUUUCUUACUAGUGUAUAUUGCUAGAGGGUUACUGACUUCUAUGCUCAAUAGGAAAAUGAUGUGAUUUGUGAUCAAAUCUUAUGGCAUGCCUUUGAGAGAGUGGAAUAUGCUCAAUGUUUCAAUCCAUCUUCAGAUAAUGCUGUUUGCAAGGGUGGAGUGUCCCUGUUAGCAAAGGGGAAACAUUUGUUAGCAUUAUCCUCUUAUGCAAGGAACAAAGGGAGUUCUGUCCC